rnacentral:rRNA from 1 species
GACGAACGCUGGCGGCGUGCUUAACACAUGCAAGUCGAACGGUAAGGCCUUUCGGGGUACACGAGUGGCGAACGGGUGAGUAACACGUGGGUGAUCUGCCCUGCACUUCGGGAUAAGCCCGGGAAACUGGGUCUAAUACCGGAUAGGACUGCGCGGUGCAUGCCGUGUGGUGGAAAGAUUUAUCGGUGCGGGAUGGGCCCGCGGCCUAUCAGCUUGUUGGUGGGGUAAUGGCCUACCAAGGCGACGACGGGUAGCCGGCCUGAGAGGGGGAACGGCCACAAUGGGACUGAGAAAGGGCCCAGACUCCAACGGGAGGCAGCAGUGGGGAAUAUUGCACAAUGGGCGCAAGCCUGAUGCAGCGACGCCGCGUGAGGGAUGACGGCCUUCGGGUUGUAAACCUCUUUCAGCAGGGACGAAGCGUGAGUGACGGUACCUGCAGAAGAAGCACCGGCCAACUACGUG